UACAGAGGGUGCGAGCGUUGUCCGGAAUCACUGGGCGUAAAGGGCGCGUAGGUGGCGCCGCAAGUCCAUGGUGAAAGCUCGAUGCUCAACAUCGAGUCGGUCACGGAGACUGCGGGGCUCGAGCACUGUAGGGGCAGAUGGAAUUCCGGGUGUAGCGGUGGAAUGCGUAGAUAUCUGGAGGAACACCGGUGGCGAAGGCGGCAUCCUGGACCGGCAUUGACGCUGAGGCGCGAAAGCCAGGGGAGCAAACGGG
rnacentral:rRNA from 1 species